GAUGAACGCUGGCGGCGUGCUUAACACAUGCAAGUCGAACGGAAAGGCCCAAGCUUGCUUGGGUACUCGAGUGGCGAACGGGUGAGUAACACGUGGGUGAUCUGCCCUGCACUUCGGGAUAAGCCUGGGAAACUGGGUCUAAUACCGGAUAGGACCACGUCUUGGAUGUUGUGGUGGAAAGUUUUUUCGGUGUGGGAUGAGCUCGCGGCCUAUCAGCUUGUUGGUGGGGUAAUGGCCUACCAAGGCGUCGACGGGUAGCCGGCCUGAGAGGGUGUACGGCCACAUUGGGACUGAGAUACGGCCCAGACUCCUACGGGAGGCAGCAGUGGGGAAUAUUGCACAAUGGGCGCAAGCCUGAUGCAGCGACGCCGCGUGGGGGAUGACGGCCUUCGGGUUGUAAACUCCUUUCGCUAGGGACGAAGCGUUUUUGUGACGGUACCUGGAGAAGAAGCACCGGCUAACUACGUG
rnacentral:rRNA from 1 species